AAGACAGUCGGCGCUCUUCGACCGGUUCAUCUUGGCCCCGCCCAGGAUGCAAGCUUCAUGCCCCCCUGAACUACGGGCCGGUCAUUUCCGUUGCAAUGCGGGUGCCGCGCAGAGCGGUUUCGGGCUCCGGGCGUCGA
rnacentral:misc_RNA from 1 species